rnacentral:rRNA from 1 species
UACGGGGGGAGCAAGCGUUGUUCGGAUUUACUGGGCGUAAAGGGCGCGUAGGCGGUCAGCACAAGUCAGUUGUGAAAUCUCCGGGCUUAACUCGGAAAGGUCAACUGAUACUGUGCGACUAGAGUGCGGAAGGGGCAACUGGAAUUCUCGGCGUAGCGGUGGAAUGCGUAGAUAUCGAGAGGAACACCUGCGGCGAAGGCGGGUUGCUGGGCCGACACUGACGCUGAUGCGCGAAAGCCAGGGGAGCGAACGGG